UGGAGAUCAUGCCCAGACGCGUAAUAGCCCGAGCUUAGGAGAAAAACGAAGGAGCCGCAAACUGUAGCAGCUAAUCCAGCCCCGUGUGCACCUCGAAAUCCCCCUGGUUCAUCGUGAUUUGUCACCGGAGUUUGUCCCCCAUGGCUUCCCUCGCGCCCGCUUAUAAAUAGGCACACCGAGCCCUUGCAAGAUCCAUCACUCCCCCUCCCCCACUCGAGAGCCUCGCCCAAGCCACUCGAAGGGCUUCGAGAAGAACGUCUUCCCCGCCUCCAGCCGCCCGAUUUGAUUUCGGGUCCCGGCUAAAUUCAAGCUAGUAAGACCAUCCAUGCAGCCUGUCUUUUGCCAACAAGCUCCUAGAACAUUAGCUCAUCUAACCAGCGCGUUGAUUCGGUGGAUGCAAACAUCUCCGGUGAGAUCCACCUGCACCCGAAAGCACCGCCGCCGGAGUUGGAGCUGUCGUCGACGUGGUUCCCGCCGGCGAGUGCCUCCACCUUCAUGAGUUGUGGAUUAACCCCGUGAGUGCGCCCGUGCCUUCCUCAACCUCUGUUUUGCUGCAGGACACCGGCGACGACAUCGCGAGCCUCUAUCGCGGGCGAGAUAAUUUUAAACCUCACAAAAUGGAUGAAGGAGACCUCAUGGAUGAAGAAUACGAUAGCGACUCCGAGGCCUAGAGGAGUCCCAGUCACUCUUGCGAUCAUGGAGUCUGUCGUUGUCUUAUUUCACCGCUUCCGCCACCGCAAAUAAAUAGUCAAGCCUCACUCUGACGCUUGUCAUGUAGUAGUACUUAAGCCAUGCCAAUUCACUCCGAUGUGACAUGCCUACCUUUUAUGCGAGUAGUAGACUUACCCCAUGACCACUGUGAUAUAUCCACCCUUAUGAUAUUAUGGGUGUGUUGUAAUACACUGUGCAGCAACCUACGCUCUUUCCUGUUUAAUAUGAAGUACUACUAGUUUUCUGUAUCAAGAUUGGUCUAUCGGUGUGAA